AUUGAACGCUGGCGGCAGGCCUAACACAUGCAAGUCGAGCGAGCGGCGGACGGGGGAGUAAUGUCUGGGAAACUGCCUGAUGGAGGGGGAGAACUACUGGAAACGGGAGCUAAUACCGCAUACCCUCAGAUGUGCCCAGAUGGGAGUAGCUGGUAGGUGGGGUAACGGCUCACCUAGGCGACGAUCCCUAGCGGGUCUGCGAGGAGGACCAGACAUACUGGAACUGCGACACGGUCCAGACUCCUACGGUAGGCAGCAGUGGGGAAUAUUGCACAAUGGGCGCAAGCCUGAUGCAGCCAUGCCGCGUGUGUGAAGAAGGCCUUCGGGUUGUAAAGCACUUUCAGCGGGGAGGCGUUACCCGCAGAAGAAGCACCGGCUAACUCCGUGCCAGCAGCCGCGGUAAUUC
rnacentral:rRNA from 1 species